rnacentral:rRNA from 1 species
GGGGCUAGCGUUAUCCGGAUUUACUGGGCGUAAAGGGUGCGUAGGCGGUCUUUCAAGUCAGGAGUGAAAGGCUACGGCUCAACCGUAGUAAGCUCUUGAAACUGGGAGACUUGAGUGCAGGAGAGGAGAGUGGAAUUCCUAGUGUAGCGGUGAAAUGCGUAGAUAUUAGGAGGAACCCCAGUUGCGAAGGCGGCUCUCUGGACUGUAACUGACGCUGAGGCACGAAAGCGUGGGGAGCAAACAGGAUUAGAUACCCUGGUAGUCCACGCUGUAAA